UCUUCCCAAGCAACCAAUAGGGCCGGUGAAGCUCGACCUUUCUGAGCGUCGCGCGAGAAUUUAAUACUACAACGUGGGGAGGGGAAGGGCAGACGGAGAGACAGGCGUUUCGUUUUGCGGAGUGACUGUGUGACGUUAUCCCGACUGCUUCAUGCUGGCAUCAGGUGAUGAAUGAUAGGAAUGGAGACUGCAGCUGUAAGAAGCAAAGCCAUGGAAAAAGCAGCCACUGCAGAAAGCAAGGAACAAGACAAAAAGAAAAGGUCUAGAGUAAAACAGGUGCUUUCAGACAUAGCAAAGCAAGUGGACUUCUGGUUUGGCGAUGUCAAUCUUCACAAGGACAGGUUUCUCCGAGAACAAAUAGAAAAAUCUAGAGAUGGAUAUGUUGACAUAUCACUUUUGGGUUCUUUUAACAACAUGAAGAAAUUAACCACUGAUCGGAAAUUGAUAGCACGAGCAGUUAAAAGCUCAUCUGUUGUAGAGUUGGAUUUAGAAGGAACUAGAAUUAGAAGACGGCAGCCACUGGGUGAGCAACCGAAAGAUGUGGAUAGUCGUACAGUAUAUGUGGAGCUCCUUCCUAAAAAUGUCAAUCACAGUUGGAUUGAGCGAGUAUUUGGUAAAUGUGGCAAUGUCGUUUAUAUCAGCAUCCCUCGCUAUAAGAGUACUGGAGACCCAAAGGGGUUUGCAUUUGUUGAAUUUGAAACAAAAGAACAAGCAGAAAAGGCAAUUGAGUUCUUGAAUAAUCCACCAGAAGAUGCACCAAGAAAACCUGGGAUGUUCCCCAAAACAGUAAAAAACAAGCCCGUUCCUGCAUUGCCUAGCGAUUCUAGUGUAGUUGAAGAGAAGAAAAAGAAAAAGAAGAAGAAAUCCAAAGCAAAGAAGGAAAGCAGCCAACAAUCAACUGCAGAGUCAAAGGACUCUAACAUGGACAUUGCUACAGAACACACAAACAGAUCAAAAAGACAUAGGACAACAUCAGAGAGCUCUGAAAUGGAAGCAUCAGAAGUCCGUCAGUCUUCAAAGAAAGAGAGAAAAAAGCUGGAUAGAACAGAAAGCUCAGGGUUAGGAGACAGCAGACCAGGAAAGAGGAAGCGAAGCCACUCUGGGGACGGAGAGGUUUUGGGUGCAAAGGUAAAGAAAACUACUCAGAAGGAUAAUGUUCACUCAGUUAAAGAGGAACCUACAGAUGGGCCAGAAGAUUCCAAGGAAAUCUCCACUGAAGAAGAGAGAGAAAUUGGAGAUAAGAAAGACAUCUCUCUUUCAAAAUCUAAAAGGAAACAUAAAAAGAAGCACAAGGAGAGACACAAGAUGGGAGAAGAAGUAAUUCCACUGAGAGUCCUCUCAAAAAAUGAAUGGAUGCAGCUGAAGCAAGAGUACUUGGCCCUACAGAAAGCUAGUAUGUCAUCUUUGAAAAAAGCAAUGGCCGAAAUAAAAACUAUGACUGUUGGGGAAAUGGAAACAGAUUUGUGUGUGCCCAGUCAGCCAGCAACAAGAAAUGCUGCCAGUGAUGGCUCAGCCCCUGCUGGGAAGGCUCACACAAUGGGCCCCCAGUUUGUGGGUGGAGUAAUUGUGAAGAUCCUUAGUCCUGAACCUCUGCCAGGCAGGAAACUCAUCAAGGACACAUUGGCGACACUAGCUGAUGUUGCUUAUGUUGACCUGCUGGAAGGAGAUACAGAAUGUCAUGUGAGGCUUAAAACUCCUGAGGAUGCACAGACUAUAAUAAAGUCACAUAAAGAACUGCAGUCUAAAAACAACUGGAAACUUGAGAUCCUUUCAGGUGAUCAUGAACAACGAUAUUGGCAGAAGAUUUUGGUGGACCGACAAGUUAAACUUAAUCAACCACGAGAAAAGAAGCGAGGCACAGAGAAGUUAAUUGCAAAAGCUGAAAAAAUAAGACUGGCGAAGACACAAGAGAUAAGCAAACAUAUCCAUUUCUCUGAAGAUGAGUAAAGAAGUCUGAUAUUUACUGGUACAAAAAGGUUUUACAAAGAGAAAUACAACUUUCCUUAUGAAGACAUAAUCUAUUUGCUGCUUAACAAUCUUGCAAUGUAGCCAAAUUUUGCCACGUUGGUGGAAACAAUACCACUGUUGGACAAAAGGAGAGACACAUAAAAGGCUGAUGGCCUACCUGGGAAUCUAGACAAAACAGAUGGAAUUGUAAGGAAUUCAUCAAACUUAUACAAUGACUGAGAUGGAGGAUUUAUUUCCAGCCCUCUACAAUGACUGAAUUUCUUUUUGUUGAAGAUUCACCUACAUUCCAGCCUGAAGGGAAUGCAGAAGCACUAUAAUUGCGUUCAACCUGAUCAAUCUUCUGAGAAAAUAACUGCCAAGCAAAGAAGGCAUCUUGCAACACUUCAGAAAGAAGUGGGUUUCCCCUCCCUCUUCAGGACACCUGCUGCUUUUCUAUAAUUAGCCUUGCAGGGCUAGCAGAAAGAUUAUUUUCCAGACCCAUUUAAAGGCUUCAAAGACACCAGCAGGCCUUUCUUUCUCUGGGCGUCUUCAGCAUCUUGCUGGGUGAGGCGUGAUGAUCAUGACAGAAGGGGAUUCUCCUUUGUGCUGUAAGCCUCUUCAUCAAGUAGUGAGGAGCUAAGGGCAGCUCUGCCACCCUUCUCUUGCCUUUGGAGGAAACUUCUGAAAUGUAUCCUUUAUCUACUGCUAAAUGGGCCAAGAGGCACCUUUUAACAUGGCGCAGAGAGAAUGAGCAAUUGCUCAUUUAGAAGCACAGCACCACACCCUAACCCCCAGGGUCUCCUUUGUGGGUUUUUUCCAGACCACAUGGCCCUUUGGAACAAGGAACCACUUUGGGGUCCUCUUGUGCAAAACAGUUUGGGAAUCAGCCCUACAAACUGGGCCAAGAGGCACCUUUGAAAAUGGCUGCUCUCUUCUGUGUUGCAAGGGAACAUCAACUGUCCCUGUUAAAGCCAGGAUAGCACCCCCACCCCCACCCCCAGUGGUUGUUGCUUAGUGUUUCUGCUUAAGCCCCUUUGGAACAAGGAAACAUCUUUAGGCCUUGUUGGGGCACACAGUUUAGGAAUCACCCCUGUUAACUGGACAAAGAGGCAUUAAAGUGGUAGUUAUCUUAUAUUUAGCAUGGGGAACAACUGUCCCUGUUCAGCUGAGCAUAUAGCAUCCCUCCCCAUGGCUUUUGCUGAUGGUGUGCAUGUGUGUUUGCGUGUGCAUGUGUGUGUGUGUGUGCAAGCAAGGUUGUGAGCCCUUUUGAGAAAUGGAACCAUCUUCAGGCCUUCCUGUGCACACAGUUUGGGUUUCAUCCCUGCUAACUGAGCAAAGCACUUUUUAAAGUGAUGGCUCUCUUAUAUUUAGCAGGGGGGAGCAACUGUCCCCAGGGCUGCCCUAUCCAUUAUUAUUACUAUUAUUAUUAUUAUUAAUUUAUUUACAUUUAUAUCCCCGCUCUUCCUCCAAGGAGCCCAGAGCGGUGUACUGCAUACUUAAGUUUCUACUCACAACAACCCUGUGAAGUAGGUUAGGCUGAGAGAGAUGUGACUGGCCCAGAGUCACCCAGCAAGUAUCAUGGCUGAAUUAGGGAUUUGAACUCGGCUCAACUCAGGUCUUGGCGAACUAGGCAGUUUAGGAGAGUGAAGGAGUUGGGAGCACAAAUGGUCUUUUCAUCGAUCUCUCCGGUGGAAGGUCAAAAUGCUCAAGGAGAAUGCAGCAUCCUGCAAGGAAACAGCUGACUGAUGCAAAGAUGGUGUAGUUGAGAAAGGUUUGGAUUCAUGGAACACAGCCUUUGCUUGCUACCUACAUGGAGGACUCCUGGAUGGGGUGCACUUCAUGAAGACUGGGGAGAAUGUGUUGGGUAGAAGAACUGGUUGAUGAAUCAGAAGUGGAGGGAAGCCUGGGGGAAGGUGACCAUGCUGUCUUGGAAUGCAUAACAUCAAGGGGAGGGGAGAUUCAAGAAAUCAGACAAGCACCCCAGAUUACAGGAAAGCUGAAUUUAAUGAUCUCAGAGGAACACUAGAUAGGAUCCCGUACCUAGAAAUCCUAAAGGACAAAAGAGCUGAAGAAGGAUGGGAGAUUCAGAAAAGAGAAAUCCUGAAGGUACGUUUGCAGACAGUCAAGAAACCAGCGUGGAUGCACAGACAACUCUCUGAGCAGGUAAGAAGCAAAAGGAACACAUACAGGAAAUGGAAGGAGGGGCAUAUAACCGAGCAAGAAUACAAAAGAGUGGUCCAAGCCUGUGGGGCUGGUGUCAGGAAAGCUAAGGCUCAGAAGGAGCUGAGGAUUGAGAUGGAUGUCAGAAACAACAAAAAAGGGGUUCUAUGGAUAUCAGCAAGCUAUAAAGCCCAGCGGUCCUCUGAUGGACACUGUUGGAGCAACAUUCCCUUCCGUUGCAAUACCCAGCUUCUGCACUGGCCUGAUUGGCACUGACCAUGGUCCUGACAUGGUGCCCUGGGAGCUGUCCAGAGUCCUUGGCUCUGAAGGGAUGGUGGCAUCACCUGGAGCAGGGUACCAGUCAAGGGAUGGGAAGCAAGCCACCCACAGUCCUUCUUUUGCAUCUGGACUGGGCUUUGGUUUGUUGGCUCCCUGCAGUCCAUGACUGAUUGCAGGCAACAAUUCAACACUUCCAUGGCUUCACCUCUAUCGGACGAAAAGGAGAAAUAUGGCUAGGUAUUAUGGUGAUGACAGCACAAUCCCAAUCCCUGGAUGACCUCACUCUUUGGUUUCAUGUGGAUGUGGAAAAGCAUGGGGAAUAAAAGAGAGCCCUGGAAAACCUCAUCGCGAAGCUGGCAUGGUGCAGAGUAACAGUCUGCCAGCACCACCUUUGAAUACUGUCAGUGCUGGGUUGGGGGCAGCUGCUGGAGGGUGUGUGGAGCCCUCUGAAUACCCUUGCUGACCAUGUGCAUGCUGGUGCUGUGCAGGGGGUAAUUGGGAUAUGUGCCACCCUGGCAGGAAGCUGGAAGGGGUGGUGGAGAGCAGGUAAGGACCUGCUCUCCUUUCCCUUAAAGUUCCCAAUCCUGUUUCCUAAAAAGUGCUCAAACCGUGUUUCAAACCAUGGUUCGAGCACAUCCCUAGUUGGUGUUAGGAAAGCUAAGGUUCAGAAGGAGCUGAGACUUGAGAUGGAUAUCAGAAACAACCCAAAGGCGUUCUAUGGCUAUCAGCAAGCUAUAAAAACCAGUGGUUCUCUGAGGGACACUGCUGGAGCAACAUUCUCUUCCAUUGCAAUACCCAGCUUCUGCACUUGCCUGAUUGACUCUGACAGUGGUCCUGACUUGGUGCCCUGAGAGCUGUCCAGGCUCUGAGGUUUUCCUGGUCCCAGGUGGCAUCACCGGGAUACCAGUCUAGGGAAGCAAGCCACCCACAGCCCCUCUGUCACAUCGGGACUGGGCUUUGGUUUAUUAGCUCCCUUCAGUCCAUUACUGAUUGCAGACAACAGUUAAACACUUCAAUGGUUUUAUGAUCUCUAAAGGAGAAAUAGAGCUGAAUGUUGGCAGACUACUGAUGACACCACAAUCCUAUUCUCUGGACCAGUGUUUAUCAACCCAACCGCCGAGGUGUUGAGCACUGUCUGCGAGGUGUUGGGUACUGGUCUGUGAGGGUACCGGUCCAUCACACAUAGAGGGGCGGGGCCAGGGAUCCACAGAGCCUGGGCCAUCUCUCUGGAGCUCAUUUCUAGGCAGGCAACCCUUGCUGCUAGAUAACAUUCAUUUAGCUUUCUCAAAUGAACAUCCAGCAGUGAGGGCUGCCUCGAAAUGAGCUGCAGGGAGCUCCCAGACACAGCAGCCCCUACUGGCCUGAAAAUGUUUUGGGGGACCUGGGGUUUGGGUGUGGGGCGGGGUGACCCCUUUAUUAACUGCUAGUCUGGGAAACUGCACACGAAGAACACACCACUCCAUGACUUCAAAAACAUUGACAAACACAGCUCUGGACGACCUCACACUUCCGUUUCAUGUAGACAUUGGACAGCAUGGGUAAUAGAAGAGAGCCCUGGAGAACCCCAUAAUGGAGCUUCCAUGGGGUAAAGCAAUAGUCCCCCAGCACCAUCUUUGAACACUGUCAGUUAUAGGUUGCUGGGCAGCCACAGGAGGACAUGUUGGAGCCUAAAGACGCGCCCAGGAAGGCCCAGCAGAGAACCAGGGUCAAGGGAAAGCCCAAGGCCUGCACAGGAUGUGGUGAUGACUGUCAGCUUGGAUGGCUUUAAAAGGGGCUUAGGCAAGCAGACAAACUGGGAACCAAGGUUAGGAGAUGAGCUGUGAGUCAAAGCCAAGGGUCAAGCCAAGCAGGAGCCAGGAUCAGAAGAUGCUUGCUUAUUUUAUUUUAUUUUAUUUUAUUUUAUUUUAUUUUAUUUUAUUUUAUUUUUUAUUUUAUUUAUUUGUAUACCACCCUUCCAAAAUGGCUCAGGGCUCAUAUGCUACUUGCCUUCUGGCCAUCAGAUUUCCAUUGCUCUCACCUUCUCAAGGAGCCGAAGGAGCCUCUCCAUGGGAGAGGAAGGUACUUAGGAGGAAUCAUGUAAACAGCUUGAGUCCUUUCCUUGCCUCAUAAGGACAAAGAAAGGGGAACAAAGGAUAUGGAGGUUCUCUUCCUUGAGGGGAAAGGAACAAAGAAAGUUCCCAAAUAGCUCAUUGAAAAUUAAAGUGGAUUUAGGCUGGAUUUGUUGGGAGAAAAUUAAAAAGACUCAGGAAAUACUUCAGGAACUGGAAGGAAUGGACCCAUGAUGAGUGGGAAGAGGAAGAGGAUGAAGGUGAGGAGAUGCUCUGGCUUUCUGGGGAAUUGUUGGGAGGGGGUGGAGAAUCCUGAUAGUAGUGUCUUCCUGCAACCCAUACAACAGCCCUAUAGACUAGAGUAGGUGAGCCCUAUUGGACCUGUAUUGCAGAUGAGAUGAUUGAGGCAUUGGGGUUAGUCUGAGGCUUCCUUACGAGUUCUAGGCAGGGUCAAGAUCCAAAUGGGGGAUUUGUAGACUCCCAGUGUAGCCUCUGGGCCAACACAUCACAGUGGCUCUUCCAGUUAUGAAGAGGGCUUUGAUGAGAAGAAGGUAGCAUCAAGAGUCUUGAGGUGGCCCAAACCCAGUGGUGGGGGAGAAAUUGUAAGACCCAGAGGUCACCUUCUCCCCAUGGAUCUGUUCUAGGCUGAAGGCAGUCACACACCUUUUUCAGAGAAGGAGCACCAAGGCGGCCUAUGCUGCCCCAGACCCAGGAAGGACCCACCUACUGCCCAGAGGUAAGUGUCUGGGAGAUCAUCUGAGACAGCUUCAUUAAGUAUUGACAGUAUUUGUUUAUAAACUGGGAAUUGUUUAAAGCUCUCUGAAUUUCUGGUUCAUAUAUUACAAAUUAAUUAUUUUUAUUGUUUAACUGUUUAAUAGUUUUAUAUUGUUCUAAAUGUUUUGUAAACCACCUUGGGAUUGUUUUUAAUGAAAGGCAGUAUAAAAAUCUAACAAUAAAUAAAUUAACUAAUGAAGCAGGCAGAGUCUGCUAGGAGUGAGAGGAAGAGAUAGGGAAUUGCUAGGGAGGAGGCCCAUGGGGAAUUGCUGCAUGGGGAGAAAUCCCUAGGCCUAUGAGGAAUCUGUAAAGUAGGACCGGCAAGUAUGAUGUCCUCCUUUCAUAUGGGAAGGCUGAGGCUUGUCUGAGUUUUGCCUGAGGCCUGCUUGUGAGUUUCCUGACAGAGGCAGGAUCCAAAUGGAGGACCCAAGGUUGAGAACCCCCGGACUGUGCAGCUGCUUGGGAUGAAAUGGCCAGGUUCAGUAACAUUGAACUAACCCUGCGGAGAUGUCAUUCCGAGGAGUUAACUGGAAGGCUUGAGACUAAAAUGAUCUGAAGGUCCAAGUGCUGUGUGAGAGAAGGGCAUCACACCAGGACAGGUACAUCUCUCAAGAGAGGAUGAGCACCCUGUGGCCACUGAGCAGAAAGGAGAACCCCUCCACAGGAAGAUUGUGCAGAUUAUCUGUGGAGCAGCAGCAGUAUACGGUAAGGAUGGGGGCAGGGAGGUGGGGCAGGGAGAUAAUUCACUUGAAAGUCACCUGGACAAUUUCACAAAAGGCCACUAGUGUCCUUCCUAAUCUUUGUCCUUUGCAAUGUUCAGGGCGAUUAAGGAAUUCAUCCUGAAGCUGAAAAUGGAUUUUCUCAGGGUAGGCAGGAAAAUUUCAUAUGGAAGUGUGAACAGUUUAUCAUGGUGAGUAAAAUGCAGAAACCCAGGAGAGAGGUGGCAGCUACAGAGCAGAGCAUCUCCAGCAGGUGUCCAAGGAAUGGAAAAUACUGUUGAGAGUCAUGCUUUCUCUGCCAAGAUUCUUGUUUCCUUUCCAUAUUUGUAGAAUCCUCAUGUGCAUUCUAGGUGUUGAGCAUCCGGCUGAGAGAAGACCUCACUUCUGAAGGAAGGUGUGUGGAAGAAAGUAUAGCAGCAAAUGUUGCUUUCGUUUAAGGCAGGUAUGCAGAAGGCCUCUGGCUAUUGUGACCCCAAUCUGAUGGCAAGUUGGGGCUAAAACUGGGCCUGGUCUCAGAGCCUGGGGGGCUCCCCCAAAGAAGGGGAUGUGGAAGCCCUCUUCAGAUGUUUGGCUGUCGUGCUUGCAGUGCCGAAAGCAAAAGUCUCACCCUGGCACUGUCACUCACCCCCUCCAGCUGGCCGCUCAUGGUUAUGGCUCCAUUUAAAGGAGGAAACACCAUAACCAUGAUGGCCAGCACUUCCAUGAGCAAUAACCUCAGGUGGCUCAAGUUGCUGCUCACAGAAGUGCCAGCCAUCACAGUUACAGCACUUCCUCCUUCAGAUGAAUGAAGCUGUAACUGUGAGCAGCCAGCUGGAAGGGGUAAGCCCGGGCAGGACUUCCUCCCUGCUUUUGGUGCUACAAUCGUAAGUAUGGAAUGUCUGCAGAAGGCUAGAAUCACAGAGCAAACAACCGCCUCACCCCAGAAGUGGAGCCACACAGUAAUUUACAGAACACCUUUUAAAUUAGUGACUAAAGUUUGGCCCAAGUUUUCACCCAUUUCCUUGUCCCAUCUCUUGAUCCUGAGUCUGGGUGCAAAACCAUUAUUUCCCCCUGCUCUGCGUGCAAUGCAGAAUAGUGGUGUUCCAUCCAGUCCUGGCAGGGUGCAAGGAACCAUGUUGGGCCAUGCAGUGGACCAUGCUGUGGGCUGCAUCCUCAGUCCUUAGGGACAACCAGGGGGCGGAGGGUGCACUAAAAAAUGGCCCCCACCCUUUGUAGGCCUUCUGGAGGAAUAUCUCGGCAUCUGCUUACCCUCCUAAGCAACAGUGUGGGAUUAGCUGGCUGCCAUUUGGGGCCGAGUAGGAAUUUUUCCCAUCCACCCAGAUUGGCCUGGAGGUAGAUGGUUUUUUGCCUACUCUGCACUGUUGCACUGGAAGGGAUUUUUGAUUUGGCGAACAUUAGAAGCGGUGCCAUUUAAUAGUGUAGCCCCUUGAUCACAACAGCAGGUGAGGGGGGUACAGUGCUUCACCCCAGGGGUGGCAGCUGCACUGUGACUUAGCUACAUUGCAGAUCUCUGUUAAAACUAGUUAAUAAAGUUGUGGCCCUAGUCUAAACUCA